UGUCAAGACUAAACUAACAUUGACUUUCCAGCAAGAUCUUAAUCUUCUAUAAAACAUAUGGGCAUGAUCCAUGCUUCAUAUAUAUCAAGCAUAAGUUUUCCUACACUCAAUUGUGUGCCCAGGCAAAUAGCUGUUGCCUUCUCCAAGAAAUGCCAGAGUUUGUCUUUGCUGCAGCAAAUCUGCUUGUUCUAUAGUUUUCUCCUUAUUUUUCUCAUACAUCAAGAUCUUAUUUGAAGUUCAGCCCCCAGCCAGAGAGAAGAGAAGAACUGCAGCAAUAGAAGAAUUUUUACUUUGAAGUUGAUGGAUCAUUAUCUGUAUUUGAGCAUUUUCCUUCCCACCACACAGGGAAGAAGGUCAAUUUCUGAUUUAACUUUCAACAUUUAUGACCAUUGUCAACAUUAUUCUGAUAAUUUAUGGGACUUGAUAUAAUCAUUAAGAAAUGCAAGGUUUUCAAUUCUAGAAAAGAUUUGAACUCUACAUCCUACAAUGGGACAAUAAUCAUACAGCUAGAGACCAAAUCAAUAACACCAUGUUGGGCCUUUCAGCUUUCUGUUUGUUUCUCAUCUCCACUGUAUGAUUCUAUAAUGUGUUACUUACCUUUCAAAGGCAGUAAUGAAUUUUUUGGUGUUUUAUAUGUUAAAACAAAUCAAAUGAAAAUUUUAAGUUGUUAUUAGUUGACUUGUUUUCGGGAAAAGAUGCACGUAACCGACCCUCAAAUGGUUGGACUUCAUGAUGUUUUUUUUUUGUUGGUAUUAAUUGACUUAAGCCUUAUGAUUAACACAUCAUAGCUCAGUCAGUCUCAAAAUUCAAAGCUAAUCUGUGAAUGGUUUUUGAGUCUAGUGAUACUUAUUAAUUGACAUUUGGAGAUCCUGAAACUAAGGCACUUUCUUGUAUUUACUUGCUUGAAGCAAAAGUGCAGUUAGCUAACAUGUCCUUUUGGACCUAAUAUUUUUAUUUGAAUGCUUAUAUUCUAGUCUUCCUUUCUAUGAAAUAGAUGUGUAUUUGCUUCUAAUCAAAGCUUGAUAAAGUGUGAAGAAUUGCUUUCUUAGUCUACUUGCUUACUCCUCUCUUUGUCUACUACAGAAGUAAACAAAACAAAUUGCUUUAGGUCUUUGAUGUGCCAACCAUGGAUUGUCUCACCUGAAAUUGUAGAUGUGGGAGGAAGGAGAUGUUUGUCUCCAUGCUCGAGUGAUAAGAGGUAGACAGGUAGAGGUCUCUAGUUGAUGUAUGUGGAAGAAAGACAUUCCAUUAGUCUCUUUCUUUCCCCUACUCAAUUAUUCAACUCAAUCAGAGAAGAGAUUCUUUCCAUAGCUUACAUAUAAAAUCUUGGCCUCAGUUUCUUGCAAUUUAUUUAAAGAUCCUGCUGAUGCCAUGCAUAACAUGAAUUUGGUACCAUGUUGGUGCAGAUAUGAUUUGGUGUAAAAUCAAUUUCUAGCUCAAUAUAUCAAUCAAAAAUUGUUCUGGUGUAUGAGGAUAUUGCUACAAAAAGAGUAACCUUUUCAAAUUCAGCAAAAUACACAUUCACACUUGACAAAACGUUUGCUCAAGUGGAACAUUCAAAUUGUUGUUGAGAAAAUUAUUUGGGAUUUAGGAUCAUGGCUUAAACACUGGAAACUUUAAUUUACCUGUGGGGCUUUGAAACAUGAAGUAAUCAUUUCUUUUGACUGUCUCUACCGCAAAUAAAAAGAUGCUAAGAAGCUAAAGCUUUGCAGAGGACUGUGUCCUGACAACUCGACUGAUUACCUUUUGAUCUAAGCUUUAUUCAGCACUGCAGACCUUAAAGAACCUUUUAUUGAGAGUUUUGGCAACCAGGGAAUUCUUCUCUGUAGGGAUGGCAGGAUUAUCAUUAUAGUUUUUGAUAGGUUUAUAGUCUCCCAUAUCUUGUCUUGUAAUUAGGUAGCUCACUAGCUAGCCAAGGCAGGUCUGAAGUUGGAGGAUCUUUCAAAGUUUUAUAUGUCCAGGGAUGUAAAUGCUUUGUGAUUGUUGAUAAAAUUCUUCAUUCAUCAAAAGAUAAGAAUAACAACAACACAUUGCAGCAGUUCAGCCCAUUAUGUUUGACUCUUCAAUAAAUUCAGAUAUAGUUAGAAGAGAAGAGGGAGAAAUGCUGUGUUGGGUGAUUCUAAAAAAUCAUGGAGAGUUUUGUGUGCUCUUUGUGGGGUCUCAGAUUAGCUUUCCUUUCUCUCUGUCCUUCAUUUAGUUCUCCAAGGCUAAAGUUGAUCCCCUGCAUACUUUGGAAGCCAGCCAGCAACUUGGAAAAAGAAAACCAUGUUUUAUGGCAAGUGAGCUCCACAUUAUUUUGUAGAAUAAUCACUUUUGUAUUGUGUCUUUUGCCUAUGAUCAAGGGUUCUUUCACUUUAUCCCUGAGCUUUCGAAUGCCAGCUUUUCCUCACAAGUCUUUAAUCUAUUACUGUGCUAUUACAGCUUUUUUUGUGUGAACAAUGGGCUGUCAUAAGACUCAGUUGGCAAUAAAGCAAACAAGAGGGAAGCCAUUACAAGGGUUACUAAAUGAACUAGGCUUAUGCCAAAUAUAUAUGUUUUUUGUGAUUGCAAUUGGAAAGUGGAACAGAACCAGAAUCUGGUCUUCACUUGCAUGAUGACAUUUUUUGGGACAUGAAACAACAGAGUUUGAUGGUGAUGGACAGAUAAAGGUGUUCAAUGCAUGAUCUCUGGCAACUUGGUGCCCUCUUUUGCUGGAAGGCAGCCACCACCAGGUAUCUACUGAGCUUUGUAUUGUAUCUUGUUUCAAUUACUAGACACAAGUCUGUCAUUUUCUUUCUAAUUGCUAGGUUGAGAUUGAUGCAGUUCCAAGUAACAUGGAUUUUUUUUUGUUCCAAACUUUGAAGCCUAAAUCAUUACCUGUUGAUUAUUUUCGCGCUGUUGUUAUACCAUGACAGCAACUAAAUUAAUAUUUAUGUUGGAGGCUGGAUUUUUUUU